rnacentral:rRNA from 1 species
AGCAGCCGCGGUAAUUCCAGCUCCAAUAGCGUAUAUUAAAGUUGUUGCCGUUAAAAAGCUCGUAGUUGAACCUUGGGCCUGGCUGACCUGUCCUCCUAAUCGAGCGCACGGGUUCGGUCGGGCCUUUCCUUCUGGGGAUCCCGAUGCCCUUCACUGGGCGUCGUGGGAACCAGGACUUUUACCUUGAAAAAAUUAGAGUGUUCAAAGCAGGCCUUUGCUCGAAUACAUUAGCAUGGAAUAAUAGAAUAGGACAGAGGUUCUAUUUUGUUGGUUUCUAGGACCGCUGUAAUGAUUAAUAGGGAUAGUCGGGGGCGUCCGUAUUCAAUUGUCAGAGGUGAAAUUCUUGGAUUUAUUGAAGACGAACUACUGCGAAAGCAUUCGCCAAGGAUGUUUUCAUUAAUCAGUGAACGAAAGUUAGGGGAUCGAAGACGAUCAGAUACCGUCGUAGUCUUAACCAUAAACUAUG